CCCGUCUAUACAACCACUCCAGGACCCCUGGACAUUGAAUAAGGUUCUGGUACUGUAUAACCAACCACUCCAGGACCCCUGGACAUUGAAUAAGGUUCUGGUACUGACCCGUCUAUCCAACCAGUCCAGGACCCCUGGACAUUGAAUAAGGUUCUGGUACUGACCCGUCUAUCCAACCACUCCAGGACCCCUGGACAUUGAAUAAGGUUCUGGUACUGUAUAACCAACCAGUCCAGGACCCCUGGACAUUGAAUAAGGUUCUGGUACUGACCCGUCUAUCCAACCAGUCCAGGACCCCUGGACAUUGAAUAAGGUUCUGGUACUGACCCGUCUAUCCAACCACUCCAGGACCCCUGGACAUUGAAUAAGGUUCUGGUACUGUAUAACCAACCAGUCCAGGACCCCUGGACAUUGAAUAAGGUUCUGGUACUGACCCGUCUAUCCAACCACUCCAGGACCCCUGGACAUUGAAUAAGGUUCUGGUACUGACCCGUCUAUACAACCACUCCAGGACCCCUGGACAUUGAAUAAGGUUCUGGUACUGACCCGUCUAUCCAACCACUCCAGGACCCCUGGACAUUGAAUAAGGUUCUGGUACUGACCCGUCUAUCCAACCACUCCAGGACCCCUGGACAUUGAAUAAGGUUCUGGUACUGACCCGUCUAUCCAACCACUCCAGGACCCCUGGACAUUGAAUAAGGUUCUGGUACUGUAUAACCAACCAGUCCAGGACCCCUGGACAUUGAAUAAGGUUCUGGUACUGACCCGUCUAUCCAACCACUCCAGGACCCCUGGACAUUGAAUAAGGUUCUGGUACUGUAUAACCAACCAGUCCAGGACCCCUGGACAUUGAAUAAGGUUCUGGUACUGACCCGUCUAUCCAACCACUCCAGGACCCCUGGACAUUGAAUAAGGUUCUGGUACUGACCCGUCUAUCCAACCACUCCAGGACCCCUGGACAUUGAAUAAGGUUCUGGUACUGACCCGUCUAUCCAACCACUCCAGGACCCCUGGACAUUGAAUAAGGUUCUGGUACUGACCCGUCUAUCCAACCACUCCAGGACCCCUGGACAUUGAAUAAGGUUCUGGUACUGUAUAACCAACCAGUCCAGGACCCCUGGACAUUGAAUAAGGUUCUGGUACUGACCCGUCUAUCCAACCACUCCAGGACCCCUGGACAUUGAAUAAGGUUCUGGUACUGUAUAACCAACCAGUCCAGGACCCCUGGACAUUGAAUAAGGUUCUGGUACUGACCCGUCUAUCCAACCACUCCAGGACCCCUGGACAUUGAAUAAGGUUCUGGUACUGUAUAACCAACCACUCC